rnacentral:rRNA from 1 species
AUUGAACGCUGGCGGCAGGCCUAACACAUGCAAGUCGAGCGGAGCGGCGGACGGGUGAGUAAUGCCUAGGAAUCGGCCAGGUAGUGGGGGAUAACGUCAGGAAACGGGCGCUAAUACCGCAUACUAUCAGCAGAGCAUAGGUCGGAUUAGCUCGUUGGUGGGGUAAAGGCCUACCAAGGCGACGAUCCGUCACUGUUCUGAGAGGAUGAUCAGUCACACUGGAACUGAGACACGGUCCAGACUCCUACGGGAGGCAGCAGUGGGGAAUAUUGGACAAUGGGCGAAAGCCUGAUGCAGCCAUGCCGCGUGUGUGAAGAAGGUCUUCGGAUUGUAAAGCACUUUAAGUUGGGAGGCGUUACCAGCAGAAUAAGCACCGGCUAACUGCGUGCCAGCAGCCGCGGUAAUAC